rnacentral:rRNA from 1 species
UGGGGAAUAUUGCACAAUGGACGGAAGUCUGAUGCAGCAACGCCGCGUGCGGGAUGACGGCCUUCGGGUUGUAAACCGCUUUCAAUUGUGACGAAGCUUUUUUGUGACGGUAGCAGUAGAAGAAGCACCGGCUAACUACGUGCCAGCAGCCGCGGUGAUACGUAGGGUGCGAGCGUUGUCCGGAUUUAUUGGGCGUAAAGAGCUUGUAGGCGGUUUGUCGCGUCGGGAGUGAAAACUUGGGGCUUAACCCUGAGCUUGCUUUCGAUACGGGCUGACUUGAGGGAGGUAGGGGAGAAUGGAAUUCCUGGUGGAGCGGUGGAAUGCGCAGAUAUCAGGAGGAACACCGGUGGCGAAGGCGGUUCUCUGGACCUUUCCUGACGCUGAGAAGCGAAAGCGUGGGGAGCGAACAGGCUUAGAUACCCUGGUAGUCCACGCCGUAAACGGUGGGUACUAGGUGUGGGGGACAUUCCACGUUCUCCGUGCCGUAGCUAACGCAUUAAGUACCCCGCCUGGGGAGUACGGCCGCAAGGCUA